UGGCUCUGACCUUCUCAUUUAUAAAAGAAUUCAAAUAAAGAAAUGGUGGCUAGGAAUGGCUUCACCCCUCCUACAUGGCUUGGCGAGGACUGGUGAUGGGUGACCCUUACCUGAGGAAUCACUGCAACAUCUUGAGGCACCUGUGCUGUUUUCCAUCUGCAGUUUCUUCCUAGAUGGCUGUCAGAGGUUGCUGUCAGAGGCUGGAC
rnacentral:lncRNA from 1 species